rnacentral:rRNA from 1 species
GGGGACCUCCAGACAGUUCGCGUUGUUUUGGCCCUCUCUAAAGCCAAUUCCCCGGGGCUCAUUUUCUUAUCUGAAACUAGACAAGCCUCAAAUAAAAUGGAGCGACUUAAGUGGAGACUACAGAUGAAAGGUUUUGCACGAGUAUCAAGUCGGGGUCUUAGUGGAGGCCUUGCUCUUUACUGGGAUGAGAGUUUGCAAGUUACAGUUCUUGAUGCAUGUGCACGGUAUAUAGACGUGCGGAUAGUGGAUGCUGCGAAUGAUAAAUCUUGGAGGACAACCUUCGUGUAUGGCGAGCCGAGAGUGCAGAAUCGGCAUCGUACGUGGAGUGCUCUAUCUGAUCUUAGGGCAGUUUCUGUUGAACCGUGGUUAGUGUGUGGAGAUUUUAAUGGAGCUAUGUGGCAACAUGAGCACUUUUCUCAAUCAUAACGGUCUGAAAGUCUGUUAGCAUGUGAAUUGUGGGAUCUUGGUUUUAGUGGCGUUCUUUUCACAUACGAUAACGGCCAGUUUGGAGACAGGAACGUACGGGUCCGUCUUGACAUGGCUUGUGCGAACAAGGCAUGGAGGGACUUGUUCCCCCUCACGCAGGUGAUUCAUCUUGCUACUUCCUGCUUGGAUCAUGCGCCGGUACUAGUACGUGUAUCUUCAUCACCACCAAGAACUAGGCCGACAUCUCGAUAUGAGAUCAUGUGGGAGAGACAUCCGGGCCUCUCCUCGGUUGUGGCAGAACGCUGGGAGCGGAGCCGGCUAGUGGGAAACCUCGGUGCGGUCCGUGACGCACUGAAAGAGAUGAUGAACAAGCUGUGA